rnacentral:rRNA from 1 species
UUGAACGCUGGCGGCAGGCCUAACACAUGCCAGUCGAGCGGAUGAAGGGAGCUUGCUCCUGGAUUCAGCGGCGGACGGGUGAGUAAUACCUAGGAAUCUGCCUGGUAGUGGGGGAUAACGUCCGGAAACGGGCGCUAAUACCGCAUACCUCCUGAGGGAGAAAGUGGGGGAUCUUCGGACCUCACGCUAUCAGAUGAGCCUAGGUCGGAUUAGCUAGUUGGUGGGGUAAAGGCCUACCAAGGCGACGAUCCGUAACUGGUCUGAGAGGAUGAUCAGUCACACUGGAACUGAGACACGGUCCAGACUCCUACGGGAGGCAGCAGUGGGGAAUAUUGGACAAUGGGCGAAAGCCUGAUCCAGCCAUGCCGCGUGUGUGAAGAAGGUCUUCGGAUUGUAAAGCACUUUAAGUUGGGAGGAAGGGCAGUAAGUUAAUACCUUGCUGUUUUGACGUUACCAACAGAAUAGGCACCGGCUAACUUCGUG